ensembl:piRNA 21ur-382 ncRNA
UACUCUCAAAUUAUCAUUUAC